CCUACGGGAGGCAGCAGUCGAGAAUCAUUCACAAUGGGGGAAACCCUGAUGGUGCGACGCCGCGUGGGGGAAUGAAGGUCUUCGGAUUGUAAACCCCUGUCAUGUGGGAGCAAAUUAAAAAGAUAGUACCACAAGAGGAAGAGACGGCUAACUCUGUGCCAGCAGCCGCGGUAAUACAGAGGUCUCAAGCGUUGUUCGGAAUCACUGGGCGUAAAGCGUGCGUAGGCUGUUUCGUAAGUCGUGUGUGAAGGGCGCGGGCGCAACCCGCGGACGGCACAUGAUACUGCGAGACUAGAGUAAUGGAGGGGGAACCGGAAUUCUCGGUGUAGCAGUGAAAUGCGUAGAUAUCGAGAGGAACACUCGUGGCGAAGGCGGGUUCCUGGACAUUAACUGACGCUGAGGCACGAAGGCCAGGGGAGCGAAAGGGAUUAGAUACCCCAGUAGUC
rnacentral:rRNA from 1 species